rnacentral:rRNA from 1 species
UUCCGGUUGAUCCUGCCGGACCCGACUGCUAUCAGAGUGAGAUUAAGCCAUGCGAGUUAACGUAGCAAUACGUGGCGCACGGCUCAGUAACACGUAGUCAACAUGCCCAGAGGACGUGGAUAACCUCGGGAAACAGAGUCUAAACCGCGAUAAGUGAGGAUUUCUGGAAUGGUUCCUGACUAAAAUCUAUAUGGCCUCUGGAUUGGACUGCGGCCGAUCAGGCUGUUGGUGAGGUAAUGGCCCACCGAACCUGCAACCGGUACGGGCUCUGAGAGGAGGAGCCCGGAGAUGGGCACUGAGACAAGGGCCCAGGCCCUAUGGGGCGCAGCAGGCGCGAAACCUCUGCAAUAGGCGAAAGCCUGACAGGGUUACUCUGAGUGACUUUCGCUAAGAAAGUCUUUUGGCACCUCUAAAAGGGUGCAGAAUAAGGGGUGGGCAAGUCUGGUGUCAGCCGCCGCGGUAAUACCAGCACCCCGAGUGGUCGGGACGAUUAUUGGGCCUAAAGCAUCCGUAGCCGGUUCUGCAAGUCCCCCGUUAAAUCCAGCUGCUCAACAGAUGGGCCGCGGAGGAUACUACAGAGCUAGGAGGCAGGAGAGGCAAGCGGUACUCAGUGGGUAGGGGUAAAAUCCGUUGAUCCAUUGAAGACCACCAGUGGCGAAGGCGGCUUGCCAGAAUGCGCUCGACGGUGAGGGAUGAAAGCUGGGGGAGCAAACCGGAUUAGAUACCCGGGUAGUCCCAG